rnacentral:miRNA from 1 species
ACUGGCACAUCAUCACUUAGC